rnacentral:rRNA from 1 species
CGCGUAGGCGGACCAGAAAGUUGGGGGUGAAAUCCCGGGGCUCAACCCCGGAACUGCCUCCAAAACUCCUGGUCUUGAGUUCGAGAGAGGUGAGUGGAAUUCCGAGUGUAGAGGUGAAAUUCGUAGAUAUUCGGAGGAACACCAGUGGCGAAGGCGGCUCACUGGCUCGAUACUGACGCUGAGGUGCGAAAGCGUGGGGAGCAAACA